CCUACGGGCGGCAGCAGUGGGGGAUAUUGGACAAUGGGGGAAACCCUGAUCCAGCGACGCCGCGUGAGUGAAGAAGUAUUUCGGUAUGUAAAGCUCUGUCAGCAGGGAAGAAAGAAAUGACGGUACCUGACCAAGAAGCCCCGGCUAACUACGUGCCAGCAGCCGCGGUAAUACGUAGGGGGCAAGCGUUAUCCGGAAUUACUGGGUGUAAGGGGAGCGUAGACGGUGAUGCAAGUCUGGUGUGAAAGGCGGGGGCCCAACCCCCGGACUGCUCUGGAAACUGUGUAACUUGAGUGCAGGGGAGGUAAGCGGAAUUCCUAGUGUAGCGGUGAAAUGCGUAGAUAUUAGGAGGAACACCAGUGGCGAAGGCGGCUUACUGGACUGUAACUGACGUUGAGGCUCGAAAGCGUGGGGAGCAAACAGGAUUAGAUACCCUUGUAGUC
rnacentral:rRNA from 1 species